rnacentral:rRNA from 1 species
AGUGAACGCUGGCGGUAGGCCUAACACAUGCAAGUCGAACGGCAGCACAGUAAGAGCUUGCUCUUACGGGUGGCGAGUGGCGGACGGGUGAGGAAUACAUCGGAAUCUACUUUUUCGUGGGGGAUAACGUAGGGAAACUUACGCUAAUACCGCAUACGACCUACGGGUGAAAGCAGGGGAUCUUCGGACCUUGCGCGAUUGAAUGAGUCGAUGUCGGAUUAGCUAGUUGGCGGGGUAAAGGCCCACCAAGGCGACGAUCCGUAGCUGGUCUGAGAGGAUGAUCAGCCACACUGGAACUGAGACACGGUCCAGACUCCUACGGGAGGCAGCAGUGGGGAAUAUUGGACAAAGGGCGCAAGCCUGAUCCAGCCAUACCGCGUGGGUGAAGAAGGCCUUCGGGUUGUAAAGCCCUUUUGUUGGGAAAGAAGAGCAGCAGGUUAAUACCCCGCUGUUCUGACGGUACCCAAAGAAUAAGCACCGGCUAACUUCGUG